AAUAUGACAUUGAUAGUUUGAUCUCACUCAGCAUGUUGGUUACAUAUAUACAUAGUUCUUUGCCCAUAUCUUGCUGGAAUCCGAAAAUCCACACCAUAAUUAGUUUUUCAAUAUUAUUAGAUGAUUUCAUAAUUGAAAGUUUAACUUUAAAUUGUGUUGUUAUUACAGAAAAUGAAUGUCGCCGCUGAAUUGACCUUUGUAGAGGAUUUUGGUAACCGGCCUUCAAAAAAACAAAAUAUUCCGGAUUAGGUGUUUUGGAGCCAUCACCUACGUCACCAUCGAUCUCAACAUCAUCUCCGGUUUUUGAAUGUUUGGCAUCAAGUGUGCCGGAAUCCGAUAAUCAGAUAGAUCAUGAUACAUUGCCAUCACCUCAUUCUCCAAACAGCUUGACAUUAUCUCUAGAUUUUGGGUUGAUGAAUGAAGCAAAAGUUUCAAUAGAUGAUGAUAAGGAACGAGAUGAGCAUAAACAGAUCAAAGUUGAUGAACCAUAUGACUAUCUCCCGCAAGCAAUAGAAACAUAUUUAGGAAAAGAAUUACUGGUGAAGAUAGAUGGAAGUUUUGUCUUACAAAAUCAACUGUUGUGUCUGCUAGAUGAAAAGGGGUGGGUAAAUGAUGAUGUGAUGAGUGCAUAUAUAUGUUGUUUAAAGGACCAAGUACAUGUCCAGAAUGAUAGUAAAGUAUAUUUUGAGACUCCCUUUGUUGUUGCACUGUUAAAACGGGAUGGCAAUCUUGGAGUACAACAAGAUGGGACAUUUAUGACAGAGAUUGUCAACAACUAUGUGAAGCAUGACAUGAUUGAACUUCCAAUAAAUUUCAACAACAAGCAUUGGUAUUUAGCUGUUUUGAUUGCAAAGAAGUGUGAGAUUCAAGUACUAGACUCACUAUGCUGGAAGUUUGACCGAGAAGAUCUUGUUGUUACGCUAAAAGGACUACAAUUUCAUUUGGACAUUCUUAAAAGUAAAAAACUUGAUUAGCCAUGAUUGGAAGGACUUCGAUGUUACAAAAUGGAAGAUUACAGAACAACUACAAAAGCCAAUUCAGAAAGACAGGUAUAAAGUGACACGUAUGUUGUAUAACAAUAUAAGUAUACAACAUAAGUAAUAUUGUGAUCUAUCUAGAGUACUCAUUUUUUUAAUUAUACAGUUCAUCAUGUGGUCUAUAUACGCUUAAAUUCAUGGAAUAUUGGACUGAUGAUGGACUAUCCUAUCCGAUUACACAUGUAUUUUUUUGUUAGAUAAACAUAUAUAGUUGAUGAUAUGUUAAUUUUGAAAUAUACUAAUAGUUGUUGGUGUUGCAGAGGAAAUUAUUGCUUCUUUUAGGUUUAAGUUAGCCAGCAUACUAUUAUGUUGGAAAACAAACACUGCAGGAAUGACUAGAACGGUUGAACAAAGUGAUGAUGACAUUGAGGGAGAUCCUAAUGAUGUUGCGAUGUUGGAAAGUCCAUAUGAUACAAAAAAAUCAAAAGGAACAAUUCCAUUAUCUGUUGAAAAUAAGUACCAAUCACUAAUAUCUAUUCUUUCUAAUAUGAGUUCACAUGAGUUAGUAGGUGGAGUUUGUAGCUACAUAAAAUCAAUCAAAUCCAUGGAGAUUUUAGAGAAAGUAUGGGUGCACAGCUCGAAACCGUAUCCGAUUAGUCUAUCUCUCAAAAAACUACAAGGAAUGCUAAUGGAUGAUUUGUCCAUGGAUCUUGAUUGCUUUAAUUUGGUCGUACAGAAGACUAUGUUUGACAACAUCAAAACGGCGAAAAAAAGGAGAGGAUUGAUAGCAAAGCAUUAUCUAGACAUGAAAUUCUGGAUGAUUACUGAUUUCAGACGACACCUAGAUUAUCGAAAAAAAUUAGAUGUGGAGCAGCUAGCAUUUUCUGAUAGUAGUUGACCUGGUAUCAAAUAUAAUGUAUCAACAUGCAAAUCGAUUCAUAUACCAAUACAAUCCAAUGGUGAUUUCAUUCUAUUCACACUCGACAAAGACACGAGAACUGUUUACAUUGUGGACCCUACUCCUUUUGAUCCCAUUUACCAACACAACCCGCAUGCAAAAUAUGUGCACAAACGUAUAUGGAUCGCAGAAUACUUGCCAAAAGCCAUGUCAAAGGCAUGCCCUGGGUCUAUAUGGAACGAGAAUAUUCUCUUAUGGCAUCAAAAAAUCCUAAAUGAUAUUCCGGUUUACAAUAGGGAACUAUCCGGUUAUCUUGUUCCCCUCUUCAUGUCCACAUGGGAAGACGGAAACCUCAUUUGCCCCUUAUAAAGGAUGGAAACGAGGUCAGAAAACAUAUUUUGGGACAACUGCUAACAUUCAACGACAAUGAAUAUGAAGACAACAUACCUGUUGGUGUACUCGAAUUCAUAAGUUGUAUCAAGAAAAUCCAAAGUAAAACAGAGAAUAUGCCAUUCUGAAAAAGGAGCUACUCUAUUGGCUGGCAGCCCUUGAUGGUAGUUACAAAUAUGUAGCGAAGCAGAGCUUCUUUGUUAGCUAGCCACCCCCUGAUGGUAGUUUCAGAUAUGUAGCUAAGAAAAGUGCCUGGAAAUUUAUUGAAAGUAACCCAGUAGGGUCAAUUAGAUAUACUGUUCGAUGUAAUAGACUUGAGUUUUAUCUUCUAUAAAGUUUAAACAUAUACUUUUUAACAAUAUAUGUUAUCGAUGAAGGUUGUCCUGAA